ACUUAUUGGGGGGGGGGGGGGGGGUAAUUAACUAAUUGUGACCAAUAACUUCAAACUGAAAUUAUUAGAAAUUUAUAAUUGGCAAAUAUUAGCACAAGAUGCUACAUGGUAUUUAAUUGUGGAAAAUAAUUAAUACCAUUUCACUAAUGUUCAAAUGUAAUUAGGUAAGAAAAUCUUUCUUUGUGUAUUUCUUUUGACUAUUAUUCUUUAUAGAAAUAAAUUGGUGGAUUAUGUUUUUUCUAUAAUUGACAAGGAAAACAUAUUUUAUGUUGACUACACAAUCUCUAUAUAUAAUUAUCCUAUACAAAGAAAAAUCAGAAAAUCAAGAAAAUACAUACAAAUGGCUAUCACCAACAAAAUUUCAAUCGCAUUUGUUCUUACUAUCCUUUGUGUCACAUCUGAUGUUCAUUGUAAUACAUAUGCUAGCCCUCCUACUCAUUGUGCUCCAUCUGCUAGCCCUUCUGAUGAGGGUCAAGAAAUAAAAUGCUUCACGUAUAAUCAGUGUGCAUUUUGGAAGUCAGGGGAGAGAGUCUGCGAUGGUAUGUGUAGACGUAUGGAUCAAUUUUUAUAUGGCAGUUGUGCUACUAAGAACAAAUGUUGUUGUUACUAAGCAUGCAUCAAAUAUGAAAUAAUUUGAUCACAUGUAAUGGUAUCUGCAUAAAAUAAUAAAAUAAUUAUUCUUCAUAAAUGGUUUAAAAUCAAUGAGAAAGAUUGAGAUCAUAAAAGAAAAUGGUAACAGUUGGAAGUCAAAUUAUAAACAAUAAAAUCCAUAAGUACCACAAGAGCUAACGAAUGAAUCAUGAACAUGGAUGACAGUCUAAUGGUCACAUUAGCUAGCUUCCUCACAACAGACUCGAAGCCUUGACAUGUCCAUCGCUUAACGAAUAAGAAAUAUACAAAGGGCCUUAAGUUAAAAACUAUAUUAAUGGGCUCUUAGUUAAUAGUUUACUAGGUGGAUUGUCCACACAUGUUGUGCAGGCUUUAAUAUAAUUUUUAGAUUUAUAGUUAUAUUUGAAUUAUUUAUAUUUCCUCAUAUAGGAAUAGCAUAUAUUAUGUUUAUGUAAUUAUAUGAAUGCUUAGAUAACUGAUUAUCUCUCUCUUUUUUUAUCGCUCAUUUUGUUUCUCUUUGUAUAUACCAUAUAAAAAUACAAAAAUAUUUUAAUUUCAAAUUUUCAUUAAAAAAAGUCUUGAAGACUUAAAAAUUUAUUUUUAAAUUUGCAAUGAAUAUUGAAGAACUGUUAUAAAUAAUUAAAACUAUUAAAAAUCUCACAUUAAAAGUUUUGUUAUCACGAAUAUACAGUUUUUGUUAUAGAAGAUAAAUAUUCUCAUAAAACCAUAUGACUACUAAGUUACAUUUAAUAGAUAUCCAUAUUAAAUAUAUGUAAAUAUCAUUUAAAUUUUUUAAAUCCAUACAAAAUAUAUAAUAGUGAUUGUUUAGAUAUAUUAUCAUAAAUGAUUAUAAAAAAAAAAUUGAUAUGAUUGCAUUGACAACAAUUUAAUUAUAUGCGUAAUAGUUAAUUGUUUUUCAAUUAUUGAUUAUUUUGUUAAUUUUAGAAUAUGUAAAACGUAAAAUAAAUAAUAGUACGUAAAAAUAAUUUUUAUAUACAAUGUUCAUUCCGCGCAAGAUGUAGAUCUUAAAUUAGUAGCAAAAUAUAAUAUAUCAAUUAUUUGUUAUUAUUACGUAAAUGAUGAAGCAUCAUGUAUCAAAGAAAACGCACAGAAAUCAUAUUAUAUUUUGCUACUAAUUUAAGCUGAAAUUAGCUAAUUGUGACCAAUAACUUCAAACUGAAAUUAUUAGAAAUUUAUAAUUGGCAACUAUUAGCACAAGAUGCUACAUGGUAUUUAAUUGUGGAAAAUAAUUAAUACCAUUUCACUAAUGUUCAAAUGUAAUUAGGUAAGAAAAUCUUUCUUUGUGUAUUUCUUUUGACUAUUAUUCUUUAUAGAAAUAAAUUGGUGGAUUAUGUUUUUUUUCUAUAAUUGACAAGGAAAACAUAUUUUAUGUUGACUACACAAUCUCUAUAUAUAAUUAUCCUAUACAAAGAAAAAUCAGAAAAUCAAGAAAAUACAUACAAAUGGCUAUCACCAACAAAAUUUCAAUCGCAUUUGUUCUUACUAUCCUUUGUGUCACAUCUGAUGUUCAUUGUAAUACAUAUGCUAGCCCUCCUACUCAUUGUGCUCCAUCUGCUAGCCCUUCUGAUGAGGGUCAAGAAAUAAAAUGCUUCACGUAUAAUCAGUGUGCAUUUUGGAAGUCAGGGGAGAGACUCUGCGAUGGUAUGUGUAGACGUAUGGAUCAAUUUUUAUAUGGCAGUUGUGCUACUAAGAACAAAUGUUGUUGUUACUAAGCAUGCAUCAAAUAUGAAAUAAUUUGAUCACAUGUAAUGGUAUCUGCAUAAAAUAAUAAAAUAAUUAUUCUUCAUAAAUGGUUUAAAAUCAAU